rnacentral:tRNA from 1 species
ACCGCUUUAGCUUAGUUGGCAGAGCGUCGGAGUAUAAAUCCGGAGGCUGAGCGUUCAAAUCCCUCCGCCAUUA